GGUUAAGCGACUAAGCGUACACGGUGGAUGCCCUGGCAGUCAGAGGCGAUGAAGGACGUGCUAAUCUGCGAUAAGCGUCGGUAAGGUGAUAUGAACCGUUAUAACCGGCGAUUUCCGAAUGGGGAAACCCAGUGUGAUUCGUCACACUAUCAUUACGUGAAUACAUAGCGUAAUGAAGCGAACCGGGGGAACUGAAACAUCUAAGUACCCCGAGGAAAAGAAAUCAACCGAGAUUCCCCCAGUAGCGGCGAGCGAACGGGGAGCAGCCCAGAGUCUGAAUCAGCUUGUGUGUUAGUGGAACGGUCUGGAAAGUCCGACGGUACAGGGUGAUAGUCCCGUACACCAAAAUGCACAGGUUGUGAACUCGAAGAGUAGGGCGGGACACGUGGUAUCCUGUCUGAAUAUGGGGGGACCAUCCUCCAAGGCUAAAUACUCCUGACUGACCGAUAGUGAACCAGUACCGUGAGGGAAAGGCGAAAAGAACCCCGGCGAGGGGAGUGAAAAAGAACCUGAAACCGUGUACGUACAAGCAGUGGGAGCCU
rnacentral:rRNA from 2 species